GCCGCCAUGGCGGAAUUGGCAGACGCACACGACUCAAAAUCGUGCGGGAAACCAUAUCGGUUCAAGUCCGAUUGGCGGCA
rnacentral:tRNA from 1 species